CUGUGUCCGUCAUCGCUGCCAUCAUCAUCAUCAUCGGCCUCGUGGCAGUCGGUGUCUGGAAGCUCCGAUCCGGGAAGAGGGAGGGGAAUGGAUACGACCCCGCGCCCACCACAGGAAUCACGGUCUGAGCGAUCCUGGAGCUGGAUCCGCCCCUUCCCUCUCCCUGCGGAAAGGCAGGAGCUGCUGGCAGAGCUCAUCCCGCUGCUCCCACCCACCCCGGUCCCCCUGCGGCUCUUCCCGAUGGAUCAACUUCCUGCUUUUUCCUGUGUGAAACCCAGGACCACAAUUAUUCCUGAGGCUUUAAUUUGGGUGUGAAAAUCUCCUGCUUUGGGCAAUAAAUCCUGGCUCC